rnacentral:tRNA from 1 species
GCCUCGAUAGUGAAACGGUAGACACGCUAGAUUCAGAAUCGGGUGCUAAAAGGAGAUAGAAGAAGCAUGGAGGUUCAAAUCCUCUUCGAGGCA